rnacentral:rRNA from 1 species
UACGAAGGGGGCCAGCGUUGCUCGGAAUUACUGGGCGUAAAGCGCACGUAGGCGGCUUCUUAAGUCGGUGGUGAAAUCCUGGAGCUCAACUCCAGAACUGCCUUCGAUACUGGGAAGCUCGAGUCCGGGAGAGGUGAGUGGAACUGCGAGUGUAGAGGUGAAAUUCGUAGAUAUUCGCAAGAACACCAGUGGCGAAGGCGGCUCACUGGCCCGGUACUGACGCUGAGGUGCGAAAGCGUGGGGAGCAAACAGG